GGGCGGAGGCCGGUGAACGGGCGUCCUUGGCCCUGAAAAGCAGAAGGUCGGCGGUUCGACCCCGCCCCUGCCCACCA
rnacentral:tRNA from 1 species